CUCGGCCGUUCCUCCGCGGCGGGGGCUGCUCCGGACGCCCCACGUCUCGGGCCUGGGAUUCAGCCUGUGAGGUGGGGGCGGCCGGGGCGGCGGCUGCCGGGAGGGGCUCAUUGUUCUGCCGGCCGCUUUGACUUCAUUUUCUGCUUUUCAUCCCAGGCCGGGACGGUUUAGAAUGCAAAUGCGGGCUGCUUUUGUAGCUGUGCGUUUGUCUGGGAGCCGUGCGUUUGUCUGGGGUGAGAUCACAGCAAAAGGGUUUUGUUUGGCUUUUUAAAUUCUUCUGGGGAGAGCAAAAGAAGCUGGAGGAGCGCUGGGCGCAGAAGACCUCCCGGGCGGGAAGGCGGGGCAGGCAUGGGCCCAAUGGGAGCAGCCGUCGGCUUCUGCAGGCCUGGUUUGGAAAGGAACCGGGUCAGAAGGGUGUUGUUGAACAUUAACUCCUUGUGGCCUGGCGGAUGGGGAGUUGGGGGUUUCCAAGCUGCUCACCCCAGAACAUGCAGUCCACUAAUACUGUAUUUCGUGCUUCCUUUGUGCCACACCCUGGGGACAUUUCCAAAGAGAAAGGUGACGUCCAGCCCUUUCACGUGACUGCAUCUAAGUGUCCUCUGCCAGAAGUGGAUAUUCGGGCACUUCAUCCUCACGACCCUGUGUUAUGAGGACUCUGAGGAUCAGAGAGGCUAAGUGAAUCACCUGAGGAAGAGCCAGUCUUUGAAAUUGAGGGGUGAGUAGAUUAACUACAGGUCUACACCAGACAGUUACACUGUCAGUGUUCUUUAUUUCUUACAAAGCCUUUUUUCCUUCUAAGGUCUAGGUUAAGACCUCCAGUGACUCUGCAAAGUAGACCAAGCGUGUAUGGCUAUCCCCAUUUAACAGUUGAAUAAGUAGAGCUUUGGAGAUAUGAAUGAUGUAUCUCAGUUCACAGAGCCAAAAAGUUGUCCUCUUUCCAUAACUCCAGAGCAUUUUCUACAAUCAUCCUCAGUUUGAAUAUCUGGUCUUGUGGUGGGUAGGGCAGAUAGGUCAUCCCUGUAUAAGUCAUGUGUCCCAGGGGCAGAGAGAGGCCAAGUGACUUGGUUGAGAUGACUGUGCUGACAGCAAAAAUAAGAAUCUGGGUUUCCUGACUCCCUGUCUGUUGCUCCUCUUUUCUCUUCCA
rnacentral:lncRNA from 1 species